GUCUGGCAGAAUGUUUUACAAACUAAACCCAGCAAGACUACAAUUCUACCAGAAGGUGCCUCAGAUGGUUUUGCUAAUAAUUUUGAUCAGCUGAAAUGGAGAAAAACAUCGUUUCAAUUAUUCACUUUUCAAAACCCGUCAAUUUUAAGUUGGAAUAUUAAAUGCCCCUUUCUUCCUCCUUCCAUCACCAUCAACCAAAUAAAACCAAACCCCAAAAGAACCCUCAGGAAAAGGGAAAGGGGAUGGGGCGGUAGUGACAUUUUCGAAUAUUGUUAAUGUACUGAAAAAUCCUGGUCGAUGUUAAUUUCUUGCCACUGGGAAGUUGAGUCCAGCUUCCGUGUAACUUUGAGGGGAGUAAGUUCCUUCUGAGAACUCGGGGGAGGCUGGCACGGCUCCUGCUGCAAAGAUGUAAGUGCAAACCACCAUAUAUUGGCUUUUGUUUUAAUAGCCUUUUAACCAACUUUGUUAAUGGACUGAAUGCAAUUUAGAUAUGGAACUUGGCUAAAACGUAGCUUCAAUUGGCUAUUAAAAUUUAAGAGCCAACUAAGAUAGCUAAUUACAAAAAAAGCUCCAGUGAUAAUGCUAAGCAGAAUUAGUAAUAGCAAAUGACAGUCUGUCUAGUCUUAUUCCCAUAGGGAAAGAAACUCUUAACUGAGAAGUCAACCAGACAAUGUGCAGCAAACCUAAUUGCAUUACUGGUGUUAUGGCACACAGAUCUGGCAGCUCCCUGGGACAAAACAGGCAGGAAAGUCUGUCAAACUCGAGGCAGAAGGCAACUGACCCGCUUUUCCAUCCCUGUUCUAGCAGGCUCUGGGAAAUUUUAUUUUUAUUCACAGUUGAUGGCUAAGUGUUCUUUCCAGAGGAACCUUCCUGUAAAACCCUGGCACGGACCAAGGCGCAAGGACGAAAGGAAACCGGCUCCAACAAGCAGUUCAAAAGGAAAAAGAUCCUUCACCGACAGCGAAUGAGAUCCUCCUAAUGGAUAUUUAGGUCUGAAAAAGACAAUAAUAAAUACCUGACUGCUAAAUGUUGAGCUUGGGGGUGCGGGUGGGGGAUGUUCUACUUCUCUGCUUCAUUACAGAUAUACCCUCAUUACGGCAUCAGCUGAAGUGCGACCCGCUCUCCUGUGAAGAUUUAUCAUGUGUGCUGGCCACUUUGAAUCCGAGGUGCCGCCGUCUUUAACAUUCCCUCGUCAAGUGUCUCCCUGCUGGGCCUGUAAAUGUCAGUCCAGUUUUUUCACGGCUGUGCGCACAGAUUAGAAACAGCGGGAGAGCCUGGGCGUAGGACUACAAUACCAGUCAGGACACUUGUCUUCGUGGCACUGCUCAAGUGAUUCCUGGAAUGCAGGACCCUGCUGUUUUCUAAUAUUUACACACAACUGGAGUCAUCAAGAGCAGUAAAUGCAGUCUAAAGGCAGCUUGCUUCUUUUGUUAGGGACUUUACAUUCAAACAGGGAUAUCAACACCACCACCAAAAAUAAAAUAAAAUAAAAUAAAAAACCACCAAAAAACCAAAACCCCAAAAAACCCUACCCCACCGUUUUAAAAAGUUUCAUACUCAACCCCUCCCAAUUUUGCUGCUAAAAGACCUUCCAGGUAACACCAGGACUGUUCACUUAGCUGCCCCCUCCCUUUCCCAGCAUCUUCUCUGUGCAUCCCUCGGUUCACUGGGAACGGCAGGGGUUCCGGAUUCUUGACCUCGGAUUGUGUUUCUGCCAGCUGUGGUUUCUCUGACCUCUACAGGCACAGACAGGGCCUUGGAAACCAUUUUCAUAUCGUUUCAGCCACCUUUGCUUUCUGAACUCUUCGCGUGACGUAUCAAAGACCUAGGGCCAGAAGCACCUGAAAUACAGACCACUUCUCUUCCGAAAGCCUAGUUUGGAACGUAAAAAAAAAGAAAAAAGAGGAGAAAAAAAAAAAAAAGCCAGGGGGAACCCACAAAAUCAAAAGGGUGCUAUAUACCUUAUUAAACGUAUACAGUGAUAGCUGUCAUUCAUUUCUCAAUAAAACUGGGAAAAGAAAGAACUUCAGGGGGCUGGCUGCAGGUGUGGGGGGGGGGACUGUUAUACGGGGUCCAGAUCACCCACCUCUGCAACCAGCGUUAAGCAGAUUAGGUCACACAACACAUUUCCAGCUGGACUGACUCAUGGGUUACUGUCAAAUGAGCUAAUGAAAUAAAUGAAGACAAAAGGACAAAGCUCUUUUUUGCAGGGGUGUGGGGGGGAUUAAAAUGCCUAGAACAUAAAAAUCUUAAGGAUCUUACUGGCACAUUUCUCUACCCAGAAAAGUUCAAGAAGUAAACUAAUACUCUCCUGGCCAGGCAAUCGAAUAGAAUCGACAUGUACUUCCACCUGGAACUUUUCCCGGGAUACUUGCCCCCCAAACCCGUCCCAGGGUUCAGGGUUCACAGACCCUUCAGCUGCUUUACUCUGACUGUGAAGUACGUAUUUGGCCCCUGGGAGGAAGCUUUGAGCCAUCUCCCCGCAUCUGAGAAUUAUACCAAGAAGGCACACCACGAACUUCUGUACUAUGACUUUUGUGUUAAGGUCAGAAAAAAUUUUAAACACUGUCAUUUGUUAGUUAUUAAGCAAACUGUAGCCCCAGGUGCUAAAAGGUGUUCAUUUACAUGACUGUGGCCACUUCUCACUUGCUUCUAAAAGAUACAGGAACAAAAAAGACCACCCACAGAAAGAUGGGGACAUUGUGGCUACUGUGCCAGCUCCUCCCCGUGCAAAGGCUCCUUCCUGCCUCUGUCCUCCAGGCACAAAGACCAUCUCCACAGAUAACACAGACGCCCAACAAAUACUGGACUUGACCACGUCAAAGAGAAGAAAGUUUUUCUAAGAUUCUUUGCAGUGGUUCAUAGAUUAAAACUGUAAUGUGCUCAAUAGGGAAAUUUUACAGGUAACUUCAGGACGAGCCAAAGCUACAAAAAUUCAAGACCCCUUCUUGCAAGUUGCAAGAUGCUACUGCUAUAAUAAAACUCACCAACAUAUGAAUGACACAUCCUUAGUACAGUGGAAAGAGUAAGCAUUUCAUUUGUAAAACAACACCCAAUUGAUAGAGUUGCCUAAACCAUCUGGUCAGCAGUAUACUGUACGGAAUCACUAAUAUUGCCUGUGAGGCUGCAUUUAUCUAAAGACCCUUUUCCAAUAUAAUUCUUCAGAGCAUCUUACAUACCUUAUAUCAGUAGAGUCUACUGAAUGAGGGGUAUAUAGAAUAACCUGUGGAACUUACAACUAGGAAAAAGUCUAUAAGCAUGAAACAGGAUUAAAAAAAAUAACAGCCAAAGGACAACAGUUUGAUUUUUGUGGGGAUGGUGAGAUUGUAAAUGAGUAUUUUCUUUCAUUUUGAUUUCUGUUAAUGUGGUUUGGGCAGUAAGUAAGAAUUAAUAAGUAAAAUGGCACUAAUUAAAUCAGUGUGGUGCUGGCAUAAGAACAGACAGACAGAUCAAUGAACCUGAACCGACAGUCAGAAACAGAUCCUGGUAUAAGAGCUUAAUAUGUGAUAAAGCAGGCACCGCAAACCAGGGUGGAAAGGCAAUGGGGAAGAGAAUUCACUUAACAAAUGGUACUGGAGCUACUGAUUAGCUAUUCGAGUAAAAGUCCAUUGCAAUGCUUACCUCAUGACAUACACACACCACUUCGAGUUUAUGUGGAUUAAACAUUCAGAAGCAUGAAAACAAAAAACCUAGAAAAAGCCAUGGUAAAUAUUUCUGAUUUCAGGAUGGGAAAUAUUUUCAAACAAUGGCAGAAAUUACAAUGACAGCGAUCAAGAGAUUAAAGCUGUUAACAAUUAAAUCAACAAAAAAUAAACUGGAAAAAGCCAGGGAACCAACAUGACUAAAGCUGAGAUCAUUACUAUACUAACAGCACACACACACAUAUAUCAAAAAGAAAACAGACUGAUUAGUUUACAAAUAAAAAACUGCUCAGGUUCACCUAGCAAUGUAAAAAAACCUGCCUUAUCAAAUUACAAAAAUGAGAAGUACUCAAGGAUGACAAAAUGUAAGCUGAGCACAGACUCACUGGGCAGAGUUAAGUGCUGGAGUUUUGCAAAGCAAAUUUCACAAUAAGCAUCAAUAACCAUCCAUUCUCAUAGUCUUUGACCCAAUGGUUCCCUUUGGAAAAUCUAAGGAAAUAUGUGUACAUGUGGACAAAGACUUCUGCCCAAUUUUAUUCAAGAAUGUUGUUUAUAAUAUUCCAAUACUGAAAACAAACGUCCAAUAUUAGGGAAAGUCAUCAAAGGAUCACAAAUCCAUAAGAAAAAACAUCAUGGAAACAUAAAAACUCUAUUGACAAAGUAUCUGUAACGACAUGGAAUGUAUUUAACAUUACCUUUAAAAGGCAUAAUAUAGAGAUUUCUAUAAAGUAUGAUAUUUAAAUAUAAAAAUGCAUAGAGAAGGCUGGAAAAAAAUGUGUCAAAAUUAAACGUGCUUGCCCAUGGGUGGUAUUAAUAUGGCUAGUUUGUCUUUUGACCCUUUUCUGUAUAUUCUAAAUUUCCCACAAUAAUCAUGCACGGCAGAAAUUAACACAAUACUGUAAAUCAACUGUACUUCAAUAAAACUUUAAAAUGUGAAAAAAAAUUUUACAGUGAUCAAGUCUUAUUAAUACACUUUGAUAACCAGAAUACAGAGCACUAAAAAUAGAAUUUCAAAGGGUAAACAAGCAUACGCACAUAAAUACGUCUAAUGUAUUUGUAUUUCCACCCACUAAUGUAUUGCUAUGAACUUAGGUCGUGAUGUGCACAUUUUAGUAAUUCAAAGAAAUAACUGAGGUUUUGCUGUUCUGGCCUAUUAGUGUUUGAUCUCUCUUAAAAGAUCACUAUGGAGUUCCCAUCGCGGCUCAGUGGUUAAUGAACCUGACUAGCAUCCACGAGGUUUUGGGUUGGAUCCCUGGCCUCACUCAGCGGGUUAAGGACCCGGCGUUGCCGUGAGCUGUGGUGUAGGCCAGCGGCUACAGCUCCAAUUGGACCCCUAGUCUGGGAACCUCCAUAUGCCAAAGGAGCGGCCCUAAAAAAGGACAAAGGACAAAAGACAAAAAACAAAAAACAAAAGAUUGUGGAAGAACACCUAGAAGCUACUUUACAUCAGGUCUUAGAUGGUUACCAGAGACCUACCAGCUGCUUUCUAGAAAAUACAGAGGACAUGUGCUUCUCUUGGGUGAAGGACAAGAGCCUGGCCCAAGCGUGGCCCACUGAGGACCUAAGAAAACGGCAGAGAAGGCGGGACACCACAGGACUAGGAACACAGGUCAGCAGAGAAGCUGCACAGUGAAGGGAGAGGAAAGAAGGGCGAGAUGCGCUGGAUGCAGGGACCAGAAUGACGACAAGGACAAUACAAGAUAAAGACAGAAAACACAGAACUGAAAACAGCAAGAGAAAACAUAACUCCGAACAACAUGGGGGUUAUUUAAACACUUUUUAAGGGGGGGGGCGUUAAGAAAAAACAGAGCAAGGCAGGGAACAGAAGGACCAGCAGGACAAGGGGAUGCAGCUGAGGAAUCAAACUGGCUACUGCGGCUACUAGUGUUUCAUUUCUGCAGCCCUGCCAAUCGAGUAACAUUCGAGAAAAUGCCAGCACUUGUGAAAAACAAUAUGUGAGGAAAUAUUUGUUUUCUUAAUAUUUAACCAACAGGUUUUGCUAUGUUUUUGUGUUUUGAAAAAUAAAAAAGGCUAAGGCAUAUACACAAAAACACACCACACACAUUUUAUCCUAUUUUAAGCGUCAAUGUGUUUGAAACAGAACUUGGGAGUUGAUUUAGGUGUUACAAAUAAACUUGGGACCAUAACACUGAUGUGUACUGAAAUCCAACAUUCUACAGAAAACAG
rnacentral:lncRNA from 1 species